rnacentral:ncRNA from 2 species
CGCACACCGCACGGGAGCGUCCGCCGAGGGCGCUGAGAGGACGGCUGGUGCCGUCGACCGUCUGAACCUGACCGGGUAAUGCCGGCGUAGGGAGUUCAUCAUGACCGAAU